UACCUUUAGUAAGCUCAAAUUCAUUCUCUAAAUGAAAUUAUUUUCUUCUCUGUGCCAUGACCCUCUCAAGCCUAGAGUUUUUAGCAUGACCAUUGACACAACUGCAUUGACUGCUUACUAAUUUUAAGCUUUCAUAGUAGUUUCAAUAGCUCUUUAUGGGAAUCAAAGGUACAUCAUUUUUCAGUAGGGACGAGAAGACUGCAAAUCAGCAGCAAGACAUUGUUUUCUGAAUGAAGAGAAAAAGAAAAAAGAGAAUAUUUAACAAAAAAGGAAGAAGGAAAAAUAAAAGCGCGCUAUCACGAGGAUAGUACAAUACUGAACCAGUCACUCAAUUAUUUUGAAGGAAAUUUGGCGUGAUUUACAGUGCAAGACCUCCUCCAGGUUGACCACUUUCUUCUUAUGCUGCUUUCGCUUGCUGACAAGAAACCAAAAACAAAAUUGUGUCAAUUAAACAUUCAUUGUUAUGAGUUGAAAUAUUAGGAAAUCACAAAUUGUAUAGGUUUUGCCCUAUUUAAUAAACUUCUACUCAUGGUUUUGUAGUUUCUAAUAAUUUGUAAUCAAUAACAGAGUGAGUCAAAAAGAAGAAUGUAAUAUGGACUCAUUAAGAACUUUCAAUUUGAUAAUGAUAAUGGAAUUGCGGGUCUGCCAACAUUCUCAUCCCUAAAACUGAAACUAACUUGAAACUACAUAUGAUGGUGACUUAUAAGUUAUAAGGAAUCUAUAAAGAAAGUGGUUUAAACAUGCAUAUGAGCAACAACUUUUCAAGUUUCAACCAGGUACAAAUAAAUUGAAAAGGGACUCACUCGUUUCUCUUCCUCCAUCCUGGCUUUGAUGAGAGAGUAGAUUGCCACUCCAGCAAUUGCAAUGGCUGUUCCUAUACCAGUUUGGGUGCUAAUCUUGUUACCUGUGUGAAACAAUUAGCCAUGCAGAAAUAUGUUUAGACUCUCAGGAAGAUGAGUUUUUCUUCAAUGGCAAGGAACAAAUAACUCGUGAAGGUUAAACUUUAAUAACAGGGAAGGAAGAUAACGAUAUUUACCAA
rnacentral:lncRNA from 1 species